rnacentral:rRNA from 1 species
GACGAACGCUGGCGGCGUGCUUAACACAUGCAAGUCGAACGGAAAGGCCCUGCUUUUGUGGGGUGCUCGAUUGGCGAACGGGUGAGUAACACGUGAGUAACCUGCCCUUGACUUUGGGAUAACUUCAGGAAACUGGGGCUAAUACCGGAUAGGAGCUCCUGCUGCAUGGUGGGGGUUGGAAAGUUUCGGCGGUUGUGGAUGGACUCGCGGCUUAUCAGCUUGUUGGUGGGGUAGUGGCUUACCAAGGCUUUGACGGGUAGCCGGCCUGAGAGGGUGACCGGCCACAUUGGGACUGAGAUACGGCCCAGACUGCUACGGGAGGCAGCAGUGGGGAAUAUUGCACAAUGGGCGGAAGCCUGAUGCAGAAACGCCGCGUGCGGGAUGACGGCCUUCGGGUUGUAAACCGCUUUCGCCGGUGACGAAGCGUGAGUGACGGUAAUGGGUAAAGAAGCACCGGCUAACUACGUG